GUCCAGGCUGGAGUGCAAUGGCGCGAUCUUGGCUCACCACAACCUCCACCUUCUGGGUUCAAGCGAUUCUCCUGCCUCAGCCUCCUGAGAAGCUGGGAUUACAGGCAUGCGUCACCACGCCCGGCUAAUUUUUCUACUUUUAGUAGAGAUGGGGUUUCUCCAUGUUGGUCAGGCUGGUCUGGAACUCCUGACCUCAGGUGAUCUGCCCACCUCGGCCUCCCAAAGUGCUGGGAUUACAGGCGUGAGCCACCGUGCCUGGCUGCUGAGCUAAUUUUUAAAAAUGUUUAAAUUUGUUUUCUUUGUAGAGACAGAGCCUUGCUAUGUUGUCCAGGCUGGUCUUUAGCUCCUGGUCUCAAGCGAUUCACCCAGCUUGCCCUACCGAAGCAUUGGAAUUACAGGCAUGAGCCACUGCGUCCGGCCCUAUCCUUCUUUCUUAACAGCUUAUCAUCAUCUGCCUUUUCUAUAUUUAACUUACUAUCUUGUUUAUCGUUUUUUAAAAUCUUCCCUCCUAAACCCCUAAGCUGUUACCUCCAUGAAGACCAAGGUUUCUGUCUGUUUGCAGUAAUGUGUCCUGACGUAUCUGGCGUACAGUAGGAGCUCAACAAAGAUCAGUGCCAUGAAUGGCACCUGUGAAGAGAAGAGCCCGGAGGGGAAGUUGGGGUGGAGCUGCAGAGAGUGCUUAGGAGGCUACUGCUGUUGUGAUAAUCAACCUGAUUCUUCAGCCUCGAGCUUUGUCUCCAAGGGGCAAGGCGGGGAGAGGAAGGUGCUUUUCUUAGGAGGAAGAGAUAAAUCAUAAGGACAGAACUGAUAUUAAAGGCUUGGUCCGAAAAAGGAAGCUUCCAGGGAAUGUUAUGAAGAGUCCACAUGGGUCAGACUUAACUGUGCUUUCUAGUUCAUCAUGAAUGAUUAUUCAGAUUCAGAAUGACAGCAUUAAAGAACUGUGAAUUCUCCAUGAAAUAUGAGAUUUUCUUCUACUUGUGAUUUAGCUGAUAUUCAAUCUUGUUUCAUAAAAAAUGACAUUUGCCAUAUUAAACAUGUUUAAAGAUGGAAAACUAUUUCUUGCAUAUUAAAAGAGUACAAGAAAUAUUUAUAUAUACAUAUAAAUAUAUAGUAAGACAUAUUUAAAAUAUGUAAAGAUGAAACAAAACCUUUAUUUGUAGAUAGCUGAGUAACUAGAAAAUAUAAUUGGCCAGGCAUGGUGGCUCACGCCUGAAAUUCCAGCACUUUGGGAGGCCGAGGUGGGUGAUCACCUGAGGUCAGGAGUUUGAGACCAGCCUGACCAAUAUGAUGAAACCCUGUCUCUACUAAAAAUACAAAAAUUAGCCAGGUGUGGUGGCAGGCACCUGUAAUCCCAGUUACUUACGAGGCUGAGACAGGAAAAUUGCUUGAACCCGGGAGGCGGAGGUUGCAGUGGGCUGAGAUCAUGCCAUUGUACUCCAGCCUGGACAACAAGAGCGAAACUCCAUCUCAAAAAAAAAAAAAAAAGAAAGAAAAGAAAGGAAAAAGAAAGUAUAAUGAAGCCAAAUACAUAUUCUCCCAAGCGUUAUGAUUAAAGCUAAUUUGCUGUUUGUUUUGUUGUGCUUGUUUUUUGUUUGUUUGUUUGUUUCUAGUUUGCUUAUUCAUUGCUGUUUUUAAAGAUAGUAACUAUGAGUCCUUCAGCUGGUGAAUAAAAUCCUCUAAGUUUUAACAUUUUAAAUUGAAUUAUAUAAACACUGAAAAUGGAUUAAAAUAAAUCUAGUUGUUCAAAAGCAUAUGUUGUGUUUUCUAGCUGACCUGGCUAGGGAACCACUGCAUGUUUGUGUUGUAACAACAGAGUUGGGUCAUAGAUUUUAAGGAAGUAUAAAUGGGCAAAAAUAAAAGUGUUGGCCUUGAUCAAUGUCACACACACCUCUUUUUCAAUGAAUUCCAACUUUCUGUUCAGUCUCAGUCUGUAAUGAGACUCUGACUUUCACCUAUACUCGUGAGAUUAGAAAAAAAAUCUGCCUCUGGGACAGAGGUCAGAGAGCUAAUCCCAGUCAUGGAGACUUCGCUGAAGGUUUGCAGGCUGCACGAAUACCUCCGGGCAGCAAAGAAAAAUAGGUCAGGGCAUAGUGCUUAGCUGUGUGAUCCUGGGUAGGUUAGUUAACAUUUCUGUUCCUCUGUAAAAUUGGGAUCCUAAUAGCACAUAUACCAUAAAGCUGUAUGAAGGAUUAACUGAGUUAAUACAUGUAAAACUCUUGGGAGAGUGCUUGGGACAUGGUGAGUGUUUAAGAAGAAUAUCUGCCAUUAUUAGGCUGUGAGUUGCUGACAACUUUUCCCCCUCCCCAAAAUGGCUACUGCUCUGUAAAGAAGAGAGAAGAAAACUAAGCUGGAGUGGGAGGGAUUUGUAACCAGUGAGGGGAGAAAAUCACUUACUAAAGAACAAAGUUUUCUUUUAUAUAUCUUGAAAAUGAAAACGUUCACAAAAGACAAGUAUUCUGCCUAGUAAAAAUGCCAGUUAGGGAGACAAAACGCUGACUCCUCCCAGCUCGCAGCACGAGGAGGAGGAGGGCAGAGCCAAAGGGACUUUUAGCUGAGUAAUAGGCAGUAUCCCUCGUGAACGCCACCCUCCGUCCUUCUCCCCAGGAUUGUAAACCUCCGUAACAGAAUGUUCAAGGUCUCCUAGGUAUUUCACAAAAAUCGUUUGAGAAAGACUUCCCAGGAUCAUCAAUUUUUAACCAGUGCUUACCAGGCAUAUUCUAAAUUAGUGAGACUUAAACCCUGCCUAAGGAUUUGUCAUGAAGCUCCUGUGAUAUUUUUUCCUACUGGUUUUAGUAAUAACCACCCAUUGUGUGAAUUACACCAUGUGAAUUACACAAAAAUCAUAAGAUUUUUUUAAAAUAAUUUUUUCCCUAAAUGUCAGAAAACCCCACCCUAUAUAUCAUUGUUUAAAAAAAAAACUGAAAAAUACACACAUAUACAAAGGGAAAAUCACUGGUGAUCAUUAGAAACAUCUUAGUGGAUGGGAAAGGUUUUUUUUUUAAGUUCCUCAAAUGUGUUGCAGAAUUUGGGAUUUUCUUGGUGCGGGGGAGGAGUAUUGGGAUAAAAUACUACCAGAAUAAAUUCAAGGAGAAAAAGAGGAAGCCGUUUUACACUAAUACCAGACUCUAGACCACUUCCUUCUCAAAUAGGCACAUCCCCUGUUGUGAAAACAGACCAGGAGCUUCAACGUAGGGAGUGGAAAUAGACUUGAAUAUUCCUUGUGAAUUCUAGGAGCUAAAAGCUCAGGUUUAAUGCAAAACCACAGGACAUACAAGCUCACAGAGUCCAGGUAUACAGAAGGUGUGCAGAAGGGAACAUUCAGAUCUGGUUCGUAAGGGGCAAGGUCAGCACUCUUGCUAGGGGCUCUGGAUUUAAGCACGGACUUUGCAAUGUACUAAUUUUGUGACCUUAGGAAGGUCAUGGUCUCUCUGAGCCACCAUUUUCUAAUCUGUGAAAUGGGACAUUCAACUUCCCCUCUGUGCCUUGCAGUGACAUUUGAAGAUAAUGUAUCUGUAAAAUCCUUUUAAGAGAACAAUGCAAACAUAAGGUGUUAUGUUAAUGAGGCACAAUUCCAAGCUUUACUGUAUUGUUUGGAUCAAAACAUUGUUUCCUUGUCUACAUUAUUUAUCUACAUGGACUUACAGUUGUUUGUGAACAUGAAAUUAAGCAGCUUCCACUGAUGGCCUGCCUAACCAGAAACUUCAGUGGUUUGCUUUUUAGUGAAUUUGCCUCAACUUAUGUUUUUUAAAAAGUACCUAGAAAUAUUCUGUCUCACCAGUAAAGAAACAGUAUGAAGCCGUCCCUAGGUUAAAACCACCUAACUCACAGUUUAUUCCUGAAACAAACAUUUGUUGACUGUGUUUUUGACAUGGUUUACUGGCCUAAGCUCACAAACUUUCCAUAAAUGAAUCAAGAAGUCAGUAUUUCCUAGCCAAACACAUUCUCAUCUGUAUCCCAUCUCUGGCCAAAUUCCGUAGGGAUCUGGCUGUAAAUAAGUAAUGCCUCCUAGGAACACGGGCCUGCCUAUCUGCUGGCCCACGCCCUUUUGCUGUUCCACUUGAAACUUGGAGGCAGGCCAGGGAUAUGGCCAAAAAAUUACUGAGCCAGAACCAGUUAAUCACAGGCCCUCCAGAGGUGGGGACCAGACCCCUGUGCUCUGCACCCUGCGGGGGCAGUGGAGGCGCUUCAGAGUUUACCAUCCUGGUAAGGACCUAAGCCUUCGGGGCAUCACAAGUCUGUUAAAUUACUCCAGUCUUGAACUAAUUUGGUGCAGGUUCCCUGGAUUUAGGCCCCAGUGAGUAGUUGGCUUUUCUGGUUUUGGCACAGGUAAGAAAGGAGGAGGGGAAAAAAAUGGUGUAAGCAAGUUUCGAAAUCUUAGAUCAUUUCAUGAAUGACUCAGUGUUUCCUUCUGGAAAAGUGCAAAUAAUUGGCUUUCAUUAAUAACGUAGCUUUGAAAAAAAUUCCUAAAUAGUGAGCAGCCUUUUAUGCUAUCUGAACACUGCCAUCCUCCAAUCUUCAAUUUUAUAGCUUCCAGAGGAAUUUCAUUCACUUGAUAACGUGUGCUUGUUGAAAACUAAACUGUCACCUACUUCCUCCUUGAAGCUUCCUGUUCUUUCUGAGAAAAGCAUUGAGAUUGUCUUUCUCUUUCUCUCUCUUUUGUUUUCCUAUUUAAAAAUAUUCGGCCAGGCGCAGUGGCUCAUGCCUGUAAUCCUGGCACUUUUAGAGGCUGAGGCAGGCAGAUCACUUGAGGUCAGGAGUUCAAGACCAGCCUGGCCCUCAUGGUGAAACCCUGCCUCUAAUAAAAAUACAAAAAUUAGCCGAGCAUGGUGGUGGGUGCCUGUAGUCCCAGCUACUCCCGGAGGCAAGGGAAUCACUUGAAUUUGGGAGGUCCAGGUUUCAGUGAGCCACUGCUCUCCAAAAAUUAAAUAAGACAUAAUAAAAUAGGCCAGGCGAGGUGGCUCACGCCUGUAAUCCCAGAACUUUGGGAGGCCGAGGCGGGUGGAUCACAAGAUCAGCAGUUCGAGUCCAGUCUGGCCAACAUGGUGAAACCCCAUCUCUACUAAAAAUACAAAAAUUAGCUGGGUGUGGUGGUGGGCGCCUGUAAUCCCAGCUACUCAGGAGGCUGAAGCAGGAGAAUCGCUUGAACCCAGGAGGUGGAGGUUGUGGUGAGCCGAGAUCAUGCGACUGCAUUCCAGUCUGGGCAACAGAGUGAGACUCCAUCUCAAAAAAAAAAAAAAAAAAAAAAAAAUUAAUUAAAAUAAAAAAAUAGUAAACAUAUAGAGUUAUUAUUCUUCUUUGAAAACUAAUUAUAUGCAGCACAAAAGGAAAUAGCCUAUUUCUUCAUAGAAUAAGAAUGUUAUACUGUAUAUUUCUUUAGUUAGAAAUACAUACGUAAAUAUAUUUCAAAUAUGU
ensembl:lncRNA